CAGUUCGGAUUNUAGUCUGCAACUCGACUACAUGAAGCUGGAAUCGCUAGUAAUCGCAGAUCAGAAUGCUGCGGUGAAUACGUUCCCGGGUCUUGUACACACCGCCCGUCACACCAUGGGAGUCGGAAAUGCCCGAAGCCGGUGACCCAACCAAAAGGAGGGAGCCGUCGAAGGCAGGUCUGAUAACUGGGGUGAAGUCGUAACAAGGUAGC
rnacentral:rRNA from 1 species